GGAAGAUAUCUUUCUUACUCAAAUUAAACUUCAUCUUUGGUGACUUCUGAUUUUAAAGUCUUCUUCCUGUCUAAGUCAUUUUAAGAGAAAUGCAUUUUAUCCAUGAACGUCACUGAAUGCUGCAGACUGCUAAUAUGUCUUCUAACACUAUACCGUGCUUAGAUUAUCUCACCAGAGGGGGAAGUAACUACGACCAUAGCACACUCCUGUUGCAAUAAAGUUGUAACAAGCACUAUGUUGGAGCAUCUGUCUUCCACGCUCUCUCUUUCUUACUCCUGCGUCUCACACAUGUGAUUGAAAAAGGUUCAUCCAGCGGCUACCAAGACUGUGAAGGAAUGCUACCAAUGGCUCUUGUGAUACCCUUGCAGGCCUCAGCCUUAAGACAAAGGUACUUCAUUUUUAUUUGGGAUGUAUACAACUGGGAGAAAAUACAUACCCAUACCCAAAGGAAAGGAUCGCAUUUUUCAGAUGCACUCCCUUGUACAACUGUGUGAGAAGAGGAAUUUACAACCUAGUGGCUGUGGACUAGUGCAAGUUUCUGCUUUUUUGCCAGGGAAAGAGCCUGAGAGCUUUGAUCCCUGUUUUCUCCAACAGCAUGUUUAUGAACUCUCAGGGUCUCCUAAUAUCUCUAACAUAAUUGUAGUAAUCAAAAAGUCAGAUAUAUUAGCACAAAUAGAGUUAUUUUUCAGUACCAGGACUUAGAAAAAUGCCCAGCACUGUUAUAAACCUUUGAUUUCAGUAGUUUUACGAAUGCAGUAUAUAAGACGGAGCUGAACAGAGUAUGAACGGAGCUAUCUGCACUGAAAAUCUUGGUCUAGAAUUUGAUGAAGUGCUUCCAGUACGUGAUAUAUUUAAAAGAAAGAAACAAGAAACAGAGAUGAACAAACACACACACACACACACAAAAAGAAAAGAUUGACCCUGUUUCUGAACUAGAGGAAAAGCAAUAUUUGAAUUAUUUUGGAGCAAAUAAUUUGGAGCCAAUUUUGGAGCAGAAAGCAUAACAGAAUGAAAAGAUAGUUGCUUUUCCAGAAGUGCACACCUCAGAGGCAGUCUGGACUGAUCACCAUUGUUAAAAUAUAUAUCUGUAAUCACAGAAUAAACAUAAAAAUAUUCAGUGGAACAGAAAUACUCUUUAGUAAUAUAUGAAUUGCUCUUCCUUGCAACUUCUCCUGUACCUUUUUAC